GAGAGAGAGAGAGAACACAUGUGUAGUCAAGAUAGUCACCCUUUGCUGCAGGAAGAGGGACAAAGUUUAAUCUGUCCAGGGAAAACUCCUAGACCCCUUUUCAUGGCUAUGUUUUACCUGCGCAAAAUUUGCAUGAAGACGCGUCAAAGGCAGUCGCUUACCAACAAUCUGAAAAGCGGAGAAUGAAAUAAGAACAGUGAUCGAGCACCUCCAUCAGAAAGGACUGAUUCUCAAAGGAAAUCUAUCGGGACAAGGUAGGAAAUGCUGGCAAAGACUGGCUGUUUAUAUGACAAAGCAAAAAUAUUGGGCAGCUGACUGAGAAUCAACCCUGAGGAGAAGCUACAGUCAGGAUGCUUUAGAGAAGCCACUGCACAAGAACAAGUUGGUGCAGUCCACAACCAAGACCGGGGCAUGAGAAAGGUGUUAAUAAGAUGGGCGAGCAGAAUGUCAACAGCUGAUCAGAGCACACUGGAGACUUGACAUUUGCAGGAAACUUAAACAAACAACUCCCCCAACCCCCAUGAGUAGACUUGGUGAUCAGGUUGAGAGAACGGGUUUUGCACUUUGAUCCAGAGACCAAGCAAUAGUGCAUGCAAUGAAAGCACAACAGUCUCUACCUCCAGAGAUGUUCAAGAACGUAGCAUCAGAUGGUAAAGUGGUGGUCAAAUUUUUGGGACAGUGGAGAGUACGACUAUGACUGAAUACCUCUCAACAGAUAAGACCACUGUUAGUGUGUAGCAUGCUAGUAAACUAAUUUGCACUUGCAAAGAAGCUGCUGAGAACAAGUGCUAUUUAAAGGCAAGCUGAGGAAUGGUGCUUCUCUAGGAAAAUGCAUUACCUCACACAUCCAAAGAUGAAGCAACUAGAGCAACCAAAUGUGGUUUUGAAUUGCUUUUCCAUCCACCAGAUUUGGCUCUAUCUGGCUCCUAUAUCACUUUUCCCAAGUUGAAAGAAAUCUUCUGUACAAAGAGUUUCUGGAGAAAGGUGAUUGCAAUAAUUAAGGACUUUCUAAAUCCGCAAGACAAUAACUUCUACAAGACAAGCACAGCCAAUUUGCAGCUGUCUUGAACCAGUGAGGACAAGAGACAUCCAUCAAGCCUCUUGAUGACUAGAUAAUCUAUAUUGAAAAAUAAACAAUUGAGCACAGAUAAUGUUUGCUUCGUGGUCAGACUAGAAACUUUCUGAAUGCCCUCAUAAAAGUUCUUGCUUUUUAGUCUCUGCCCAUUAAUUCAUAUUUUAAUAGGAGAUUAAUCCAUGCCUGCAAUCUUCAAACUCGACUAAUAGAUCCUGACAAUGUCAUGCAUGUCACCCUUUUGAAAACUCAUACAUUCAGCAGAAUUAUCCAGCAGGUUAUCAGCAAGUAUAACAGUGUGGGUAGUGAUACAGCAAAAAUGAGGACUAUGCUGCAUCAAUAGUGAGGAAGUUGAGAGAAACAGAGAACAUGAGUUCUACAAGUGAAUUGCUACUACUUGCCUGUGCUAACUAAUUUGCAUAUGUAAUUUGAGACACAGGUUUCCUCUUAGCUCUGAUCAUGUUUUAUUAAAGUAAAUACCCUGCAGAUUUGAUAUACAGGCAAAAUUCCUUUUUAAAAAGGUUUAAGCUUGACUUUAUACACGUACGAUAAUUCUUAGUUUUGUUUUUUUAAAACCUGCUACAUAAGAAAAUAUCUUCCAACUUCCAUACAAAACAGUACUUUUUCUCUGCUGGUAGAAGACAUUGAUAAAAUUUUUAACUGUCAAGUGGUCUGUGUAACCGUUACAAAAGUUGUAUACAAAAACGUUCAAUGCAAAAAUGCCAAAGUACACUCUGACAGCUAAUGCUCUGCGAACACUUUAUUACACAAAUUACAUUCAGCUUCUGAAAAUAGUGUUCUAACAGUGAUACCAUCUAAAAAUAAGACAUCCCAAAAACACAUCAAAUCAGGAGGAAGGAAAAAAAAUUAAAUAGACUUUUUUCUUUCCUUCAAUGCAAUAUUAAUGUUAGUGAUUUUAAAAAAAUAGAAGAAGAUUUAGCAGCUUUGUUUUCUUGUGGCACUGUAUUUUCUCUGUACUGCAAUAGGUUAAGGACAUUGAAGAGGAAAGGCACAAAAGAAAGAAAUUGGCAACUGAAAUGUUAUGG